rnacentral:rRNA from 1 species
GGUAACAGCUCAAAUUUGAAAGCUAGCUCUUUUAGGGUUCGCAUUGUAAUUUGUAGAAGAUGCUUCGGGUGUGGCCCCGGUCUAAGUUCCUUGGAACAGGACGUCAUAGAGGGUGAGAAUCCCGUAUGUGACUGGGUGCUUUCGCUCAUGUGAAGCUCUUUCGACGAGUCGAGUUGUUUGGGAAUGCAGCUCAAAAUGGGUGGUAAAUUUCAUCUAAAGCUAAAUAUUGGCCAGAGACCGAUAGCGCACAAGUAGAGUGAUCGAAAGAUGAAAAGCACUUUGGAAAGAGAGUUAAACAGUACGUGAAAUUGUUGAAAGGGAAGCGCUUGCAACCAGACUUGCGCGCUGAUGAUCAUCCGGGCUUCUGUCCGGUGCACUCGUCUGCGCUCAGGCCAGCAUCGGUUUCGGUGGUGGGAUAAAGGCCUUGGGAAUGUAGCUCCUCUCGGGGAGUGUUAUAGCCCUCGGUGCAAUGCCGCCUAUCGGGACCGAGGACCGCGCUUCGGCUAGGAUGCUGGCGUAAUGGUUGUAAGCGACCCGUCUUGAAACACGGACCAAGGAGUCUAACAUCUAUGCGAGUGUUUGGGUGUCAAACCCAUACGCGUAAUGAAAGUGAACGGAGGUGAGAACCCUUAAGGGUGCAUCAUCGACCGGUCCUGAUGUCUUCGGAUGGAUCUGAGUAAGAGCAUAGCUGUUGGGACCCGAAAGAUGGUGAACUAUGCGUGAAUAGGGUGAAGCCAGAGGAAACUCUGGUGGAGGCUCGCAGCGGUUCUGACGUGCAAAUCGAUCG